UGAGGAAUUUUCCGCAAUGGGCGAAAGCCUGACGGAGCGACGCCGCGUGGAGGACGAAAUCUUUCGGGAUGUAAACUCCUUUCGACCGGAACGAAAAAAAUGACGGUACCGGGAGAAGAAGCAUCGGCUAACUACGUGCCAGCAGCCGCGGUAAGACGUAGGAUGCAAGCGUUGUUCGGAAUUACUGGGCGUAAAGCGUGCGUAGGCGGCUUCAUAAGUCGAGGGUGAAAGCCUGGAGCUCAACUCCAGAGACGCCUUCGAGACUGUGAAGCUCGGAGGACGGCAGAGGGGGGUAGAAUUCCCAGUGUAGCGGUGAAAUGCGUAGAUAUUGGGAGGAAUACCAGUGGCGAAAGCGACCCCCUGGGUUAGUCCUGACGCUGAGGCACGAAAGCGUGGGGAGCAAACGGGAUUAGAUACCCGGGUAGUCC
rnacentral:rRNA from 1 species